rnacentral:rRNA from 1 species
UACGGAGGGGGCGAGCGUUAUUCGGAAUCAUUGGGCGUAAAGCGCACGUAGGCGGCUCGUUAAGUCGGAUGUGAGAGCCCUGGGCUCAACCCAGGAAGUGCAUACGAAACUGGCGAGCUUGAGUAUGGAAGAGGGUCGCGGAAUUCCCGGUGUAGAGGUGAAAUUCGUAGAUAUCGGGAGGAACACCAGUGGCGAAGGCGGCGACCUGGGCCAAUACUGACGCUGAGGUGCGAAAGCGUGGGGAGCAAACAGG